UACGUAGGGUCCGAGCGUUGUCCGGAAUUACUGGGCGUAAAGAGCUCGUAGGUGGUUUGUCGCGUUGUUCGUGAAAACUCACAGCUCAACUGUGGGCGUGCGGGCGAUACGGGCAGACUGGAGUACUGCAGGGGAGACUGGAAUUCCUGGUGUAGCGGUGGAAUGCGCAGAUAUCAGGAGGAACACCGGUGGCGAAGGCGGGUCUCUGGGCAGUAACUGACGCUGAGGAGCGAAAGCGUGGGGGAGCGAACAGG
rnacentral:rRNA from 1 species